CGUGUAGGCGGAUACGCAAGUCGGGUGUGAAAGCCCCGGGCUCAACCUGGGAACUGCAUUCGAAACUGCGUAUCUCGAGUACUGGAGAGGGAAGCGGAAUUCCCGGUGUAGAGGUGAAAUUCGUAGAUAUCGGGAGGAACACCAGUGGCGAAGGCGGCUUCCUGGACAGUCACUGACGCUGAGACGCGAAAGCGUGGGGAGCAAACA
rnacentral:rRNA from 1 species